rnacentral:rRNA from 1 species
GCGAAAGCGAGUCUGAAUAGGGCGUUAAGUCGCUGGGAAAAGACGCGAAGCGGGAUGAUCUAUCCUUGGCCAGGAUGAAGGGUGGGUAACACCACCUGGAGGUCCGAACCAGUGUUGGUUGAAAACAGCUUGGAUGAGCUGAGGAUAGGGGUGAAAGGCUAAUCAAAUUCCGUGAUAGCUCGUUCUCUCCGAAAUAGGUUUAGGCCUAGCCUCGUGUAUGCGCCCCGGUGGUAGAGAACUGGUUGAACUAGGGGGCUUCCCAGCCUACCGAAUUCAGUCAAACUUCGAAUGCCGGGAGCGACGAGCACGGGAGUCAGACAGUCAGGGCUAAGCUUGAUUGUCAAAAGGGGAAGAGCCCAGACCAUCAACUAAGGUCCCCAAGUACAUGCUAAGUGGGAAAGGAAGUCGGGAAUCUCUAACAGCGAGGAGGUUGGCUUAGAAGCAGCCAUCCUUUAAAGAAAGCGUAACAGCUCAUCGGUAUAAUUUUUUUGUGUUGAAAAUGUAAAGGGACUAAAAUUAUUUGCCGAAGCAGUAAAUUUAAAUUUUUUAAUAAUUUAAAUGGUAGCAGAACGUUCUGUAAAUUUAUGAAGAAUUAUGGAAACAUAUUUUGGAAAAAUCAGAAGUGAUAAUGUUGGUAUGAGUAACGAAAAACAAUGUGAAAAACAUUGUCGCCUUAAAUUCAAGGUUUUCAAGGGAAGGCUAAUCCUCCUUGAUAGUAAAUCGGUCUCUAAGAAACAAACGAAAGUUUUUAUCGAUGAGUAAAAGAUUAAAAUUUCUUUUUAUAAAUAAAGUGACAAAAUAUGAAUAUUAUUUUUAUUUUAUGGUAUAAAUAAAAGUUUUAUAGUAUUUUCAAGAAAUAGCUUUAUUAAAAUUAUUUUUAUUUUUAAAACCGUACCGUAAACCGACACAGGUAGGUGGGGUGAGUAUCCUAAGGCGCUCGAGAAAACCACCGUUAAGGAACUCGGCAAAAUGACCCCGUAACUUCGGGAGAAGGGGUGCCUCCAUCUUUAAAACAUGGGGGCCGCAGUGAAUAGCGAGGGGCAACUGUUUAACAAAAACACAGGUCUCUGCAAAGUCGAAAACGACGUAUAGGGGCUGACGCCUGCCCAGUGCCGGAAGGUUAAGAGGAGCGGUUAGCGCAAGCGAAGCUGUGAAUCGAAGCCCCGGUGAACGGCGGCCGUAACUAUAACGGU